GACGAACGCUGGCGGCGUGCCUAAUACAUGCAAGUUGAGCGCUGAAGGUUGGUACUUGUACCAACUGGAUGAGCAGCGAACGGGUGAGUAACGCGUGGGGAAUCUGCCUUUGAGCGGGGGACAACAUUUGGAAACGAAUGCUAAUACCGCAUAAAAACUUUAAACACAAGUUUUAAGUUUGAAAGAUGCAAUUGCAUCACUCAAAGAUGAUCCCGCGUUGUAUUAGCUAGUUGGUGAGGUAAAGGCUCACCAAGGCGAUGAUACAUAGCCGACCUGAGAGGGUGAUCGGCCACGUUGGGACUGAGACACGGCCCAAACUCCUACGGGAGGCAGCAGUAGGGAAUCUUCGGCAAUGGACGAAAGUCUGACCGAGCAACGCCGCGUGAGUGAAGAAGGUUUUCGGAUCGUAAAACUCUGUUGGUAGAGAAGAACGUUGGUGAGAGUGGAAAGCGCAUCAAGUGACGGUAACUACCCAGAAAGGGACGGCUAACUACGUG
rnacentral:rRNA from 1 species